GGCAACAGCUAUACAAUAUCUGUAAAAAUUUAAGAAGUCCAGCUAUUGUGGUUCUUGAAAUACAGCCUGGACACAGACGGACAGACAACGAAGUCUUAGUAAUAGGGUCC